rnacentral:lncRNA from 14 species
GUAACCCUACAUCCUCAAAGGUGUUUGAUUACAGCUCUGUUCAUUUUUCAGUUUUCCAUAGUAGCUGUGAGCUGCUAACUCCUCCUGCAAGCCCUUGGAAAGAUCACAGUUGCCAAGCUGUUCACAGGACCCUGACCCAGCAGCCCCUCAUGGGUCUGGGUAGCUGCAAGGAUGCUGCUGCUCAUAUGAGAACUUCCCUUAGGGUUUGUUUGCUUCCUCCUUGAGCAGAACUUUCUGCUUUGGAAAAAUGGUAAGAGGAGAUGUUGUAAGACUUCACCUAUGCCAGUUUUACCAUGGCUAAAACACAUUGUUGGUAUUGAAGCUAUGAAGAUUUCUUCCCAAGGUCAGCAACCCGUCUGACAGUUCUGACACUUCCAAACCAUGAAUGUCUGUAGAGAAACGCUACAGGGCAUUGGGAGAGGGACCUCUGCUGCUGCUGUGAGUGAAGAAUUUGUGGCUGGUGAAAUGGGUCUUGGGAGAAUUGACCUUCAUAUGAUUUCUACAACGAUGAGUCAUGCUACCUCCAUUACUCACAUCGU